AAUCAACGCUGGCGGCGUGCCUCAGACAUGCAAGUCGAACGCGAAAGUCCCCUUCGGGGGACAAGUAGAGUGGCGCACGGGUGAGUAACACGUAGGUAAUCUACCUUCGGAUGGGGAAUAACAACCGGAAACGGUUGCUAAUACCGCAUAAUGCAGCGGCACCUAAUGGUGACAGUUGUUAAAGCGGGGGAUCGAAAGACCUCGCGUCUGAAGAGGAGCCUGCGGCGGAUUAGCUAGNGGUAAGGUAAUGGCUUACCAAGGCGACGAUCCGUAGCCGGCCUGAGAGGGCGGUCGGCCACACUGACACUGACAUACGGGUCAGACUCCUACGGGAGGCAGCAGUCGGGAAUUUUGGGCAAUGGGCGAAAGCCUGACCCAGCAACGCCGCGUGAAGGAUGAAAUCCCUCGGGAUGUAAACUUCGCAAGAACGGGAAGAAUAAGUAGGGACAACUACCCCCUAUGGUGACGGUACCGUUUGUAAGCUCCGGCUAACUCCGUGCCAGCCGCCGCAGUAAU
rnacentral:rRNA from 1 species